rnacentral:rRNA from 1 species
CCUACGGGUGGCAGCAGUGGGGAAUAUUGCACAAUGGGCGCAAGCCUGAUGCAGCCAUGCCGCGUGUAUGAAGAAGGCCUUCGGGUUGUAAAGUACUUUCAGCGGGGAGGAAGGCGAUAAGGUUAAUAACCUUGUCGAUUGACGUACCCGCAGAAGAAGCACCGGUUAACUCCGUGCCAGCAGCCGCGGUAAUACGGAGGGUGCAAGCGUUAAUCGGAAUUACUGGGCGUAAAGCGCACGCAAGCGGUCUGUCAAGUCGGAUGUGAAAUCCCCGGGCUCAACCUGGGAACUGCGUUCGAAACUGGCAGGCUAGAGUCUUGUAGAGGGGGGUAGAAUUCCAGGUGUAGCGGUGAAAUGCGUAGAGAUCUGGAGGAAUACCGGUGGCGAAGGCGGCCCCCUGGACAAAGACUGACGCUCAGGUGCGAAAGCGUGGGGAGCAAACAGGAUUAGAUACCCGUGUAGUC